GGCAAAGAUUUCCUCGUUUCGGACGGAGAUUAUCCCUCGAGUGCAAAGGCAAAAGGGAGCUUAACUACAAGACCCAUCCAUCGAGCAGGGACGAAAGUCGGCCUUUCC
rnacentral:rRNA from 1 species